UACGUAGGGGGCAAGCGUUGUCCGGAUUCAUUGGGCGUAAAGAGCGUGUAGGCGGCCAGGUAGGUCGGUUGUGAAAACUGGAGGCUCAACCUUCAGAGGUCGACCGAAACCAUCUGGCUAGAGUCCGGGAGAGGAGAGUGGAAUUCCUGGUGUAGCGGUGAAAUGCGCAGAUAUCAGGAAGAACACCAGCGGCGAAGGCGGCGCUCUGGGCUGGAACUGACGCUGAGGAGCGAAAGCGUGGGGAGCGAACAGG
rnacentral:rRNA from 1 species